UGCCGCUCUGGAAAAAGCCGUGCCUGGGGACUUAGCUCUUAAUAUCGCCGCAGCCCAGGUGAGCCACCCGCUGCCUCCAGCAAACGGGCUCAGCCCCAGCCCCAGGCGUGCCCCCGGCCCCGCUCCCAGCCCCGGUGGGGACUGGGGCUGAUCCUGGUCCCCCUGCUUGGGAUGAGCCUGGGGCCGUCCCUGCUCCCUGCCCACAUCCCCUGGAUGCUUCCCAUUUUCUGGGUGCAUUUGGGCAAUAAUAUUGCUACGGGAGCAGUUUCCUUAAAUCCAUCUCCGUUACCGCAAGCAGCUUAUCACGAGAAACUCUUUUCCUCUCUGUUCUUUUAAUACGAUCCCGGCUUAGCAAAACCCAGGGCUUAGCCACUGCCCCUGAAGUGCAAGUGAGGAGAGGAGAAUUAAAUAAUAUGAAAGCACAAAACAAAGGGCUGAGCUUUGAGCAGCUCAUCUUGUGGGGCGGGGGAUGCCAGGGGGGCAGCCUGGCCGGUGACCACUGGGGCUGCCCACGGGGGGGAUGCUCAGUGGGGGCAUCGGGGCACGGCCCCUCGCUCAGCCCCUCCAGGAGGGCUCGGUUUUGUGGGUCAGUGGGUCAGGGAUGCUGGGGUGCUUUCAGACGUUGCUUCCUCUGGUAGGGAGUGGGGGAAGAGCCGUGUGGGCUCCUCGUUGCCCUAAAGAUUCCCCAAACAGGCAGGGCCCACGGGUGCAGCCCUUCCAAGGAGCCCAGCUGGGGGAGCAUCCCCCCUGGAUUGGGUAAAACAUCCCAUCACAAAGCGGUUUAUUGAGGGCUUUUACCCGUUUUGAAAUAUUGCAGUUUUCCGGAGUUUUCCCAUCUUGGUUUUUACCUGAACCAGCGAGUGGCUCUGGGGAACGCAGCGCCCUUCGCAGAGCCCGCCUCGAACCCAGAAAUGGGUCUCAAACCCCUCCAGCCCUACUGGGACCCAGUGGUGGGUGUCGGACGCAGGGAUGUGGGCACUGGGGUGGCUGCAGGGACUCCUGGCUGUGGUACAGAGCCCGAUCCCCACGCCGUGCCAAAGGGCUCGGGGUUUUUGCCCUGCGAUUGUCCCCUCUCAUCCGCUCGGUCCCGGCUGGCUGGGCUCGCCUUGGACUCCGCUCCCGGCACGGCGCGGGUUGCUGGGGAGACCGGCUGGUUUAUUUACCGUCAGGGCUGCGAUAAGGAGUGUGAACGGGGAGGCGAAGCACAUGGUGUCCAAUGUGCCUGACCCACUUUCUGCCACCCGGGCACUGUUAUUGGAUUGCAGCGUUUUCCAGGUCAGCCCCCACCAGAAGAAACCGUUCCCUGCUCCUCCACCAGCCCUCGUAACGCCGCUCUUCCCGUGUUUAUAUAACGGCGACGUCUCCUGUGGACUGGGGAGAGAAUUGGCCGGGGAGAAAUAAUGAGGAUAAUUCGAGUCAUUUGGGAAGAUGAGGUUUGCGAGGUGCCCAGCAUCUUCCACCUUUUACAUGUUGUCUCUAAUCAUCCGCAAUCUCGGAUGGCCAUUGAUGGAGCUCGUUGCUGUGGCGACGGAUGAAUAGCCCUGGGAUUGUAACAUGCCAAAAAAGUGCCGUCCUUCCAUCAAAACAACAACAACAACAAAAAUAUCAUUCUGUUCAGGAAAUUAAGCAGUUUGCAACCAAAUAGCAGAGUCUGAAAGGGCUCCCGCGUCUGCUCUUUCCUCCCAGCUCCCGCCGCUGUGCUGGGUUUGUCAGGAACAUGCCCGGCACCCCACCGAGUCCUUUGUACGCACCGGACAAGGAGAAGGUGGUAAUUGCAAGGGGGUUUCUAACCCACUGAGCCUAUUAAAAGGAUUUUUAUGCCCCCCACACCUUUCUUCUUCCCCAGAUGUGU
rnacentral:lncRNA from 1 species